CAGGAACAAUUUUUUGUUAGCUCCCCUUCACCAGACAGUACUAGAUCAAUGCAUGAGAAGUGUACACAAACUAUGGAGGUUAUAGAUUUUGAGGAUGAGAACGAUGCUGAGACACAAACUGAAAACAAAAAUAUGAAUGGCAGGGGCAAGAAACGUAAGAAUCCAGCUAAAGUGACACCGCCAACAAAAACAUUCUACGCCUCUAACGUACUGGAAGGGCUUAAGCACG